UUUAGUCAGGCAACGAGCAAGACCCGUGCCCACAGUUGCCAGCAUACCCUCCGGGGUGAUGGGCACACUGUGGGGACCGCCGCUGCUAAAGCGGAGGAAGGAGCGGGCUACGGUAGGUCAGUAUGCCCCGAAUGGUCCGGGCUACACACGGGCUACAAUGGUUGGGACAAUGGGCACCUACACCGAGAGGUGAUGGUAAUCUCCUAAACCCAGCCUUAGUUCGGAUUGAGGGCUGCAACUCGCCCUCAUGAAGCCGGAAUCCGUAGUAAUCGCGUAUCAAUAUCGCGCGGUGAAUACGUCCCUGCUCCUUGCACA
rnacentral:rRNA from 1 species